rnacentral:misc_RNA from 1 species
AAGUCGUAACAAGGUUUCCGUAGGUGAACCUGCGGAAGGAUCAUUACCGAGUUAGGGUCUCCUCCGUGAGGCCCGACCUCCCAACCCCGUGUCUAAUAAACCUGUACGUGUUGCUUCGGCGGACCGGCAGUCGCCCUUCGGGGGGACCGUCGCCGGGGGAGAACGGUCUCACGACCGCCCUUGGAGAGCGUCCGUCGAUGGCCCAACCAAAACAACUCCCAAACCCAAAAUAUUGUACCUAAAACUUCUGAAUCAGACCUUUUGAUAUACCAAUCAAAAACAAAACUUUCAACAACGGAUCUCUUGGUUCUG